UGGAUACAAAAGGUUCCUUCAACUUUGUAGGC
rnacentral:piRNA from 1 species